GAUGAACGCUAGCGGCAGGCUUAACACAUGCAAGUCGAGGGGUAACAGGGAAAAGCUUGCUUUUUUGCUGACGACCGGCGAACGGGUGCGUAACGCGUAUAGAAUCUGCCUUGUACAGGAGGAUAGCCUUUAGAAAUGAAGAUUAAUACUCCAUAAUAUUGGGAAGUGGCAUCACUAUCUAAUUAAAGAUUUAUCGGUACAAGAUGACUAUGCGUCCUAUUAGCUAGAUGGUAAGGUAACGGCUUACCAUGGCGACGAUAGGUAGGGGGUCUGAGAGGAUUAUCCCCCACACUGGUACUGAGACACGGACCAGACUCCUACGGGAGGCAGCAGUGAGGAAUAUUGGUCAAUGGAGGCAACUCUGAACCAGCCAUGCCGCGUGCAGGAAGACUGCCCUAUGGGUUGUAAACUGCUUUUAUACAGGAAGAAACUUAUCCACGUGUGGGUAACUGACGGUACUGUAAGAAUAAGCACCGGCUAACUCCGUGCCAGCCGCCGCCGUAAUAC
rnacentral:rRNA from 1 species